AGUGGCGAACGGGUGAGUAAUAUAUCGGAACAUGUCCGGAAGUGGGGGAUAGCUCGGCGAAAGCCGGAUUAAUACCGCAUAUGCUGAGGGAAAGCGGCGCUUUCGGAGUGGCCGAUAUCGGAUUAGCUAGUUGGUGAGGUAAAGGCUUACCAAGGCGACGAUCCGUAGCUGGUUUGAGAGAACGACCAGCCACACUGGAACUGAGACACGGUCCAGACUCCUACGGGAGGCAGCAGUGGGGAAUUUUGGACAAUGGGGGAAACCCUGAUCCAGCCAUGCCGCGUGAGUGAAGAAGGCCUUCGGGUUGUAAAGCUCUUUCAGACGGGAAGAAUGACGGUACCGUCAGAAGAAGCACCGGCUAACUACGUGCCAGCAGCCGCGGUAAUACGUAGGGUGCGAGCGUUAAUCGGAAUUACUGGGCGUAAAGCGUGCGCAGGCGGUUUUGUAAGACAGGUGUGAAAUCCCCGGGCUUAACCUGGGAACUGCAUUUGUGAC
rnacentral:rRNA from 1 species